CGUUAUUACAGGCAUGUAAGCAAUUUGAGUUAAUUGUAUCCCAUUAGCAGUUAAUUGAGUAGCGUGGCUGGAGAACAACGCGUGGCUGGAGGAACAAUUGAAAAAUGGAUAAGAUAAUAAAACAAAAAAAUGAUCAAAUUAUGAAGCUGCAGGCCCAGUUAUUGGAACAACACAAAAUAUUAGAUAACAAAGCUAAGGAUCGUAGGCCUAACACGUAAUGAUUCUAUUCAUUUGCUUUUAUUCAUUCGUGUUUUGUAGCUCAAAUUUUGAGUCUUCAAGCUCAGCUAGGGGAAAAGAACAAAUUGGAACGGAACAGUUUCCAAACAGUGAAGGAGGUUUUUCAAAACUCAUCUGUAACUGAACGUGAGGAUGAGUUGGCAUUAGGCGAACACAGCCAGUUAUUCAGUCCACCACAUGACAGUGUGUUAAAUUUAAAUUCUGUUAGUGCUGCACUAAAGGAAUUGUUAGUAAUAAGCUCAUGCAGUGAAGGAACUGAAUAAUUGUGGGAACGUAUUUGGGCCAAAAAUGGGUGUGGUACAGAAACCCAGAAAUGGCACGAGUUCAACAUGA